rnacentral:rRNA from 1 species
CGUGGGUAACCUGCCCUUAAAGUCUGGGAUACCAUUUUGGAAACAGAUGCUAAUACCGGAUAAAAGCUACUUUCGCAUGAAAGAAGUUUAAAAGGCGGCGUAAGCUGUCGCUAAAAGGGGAUGGACCUGCGAUGCAUUAGCUAGUGUAAGGUACGGCUUACCAGGCGAUGAUGCAUAGCCCGAGUUGAGAGACUGAUCGGCCACAUUGGGACUGAGACACGGCCCCAAACUCCUACGGGAGGCAGCAGUAGGGAAUCUUCCACAAUGGACGCAAGUCUGAUGGAGCAACGCCGCGUGAGUGAAGAAGGUUUUCGGAUCGUAAAGCUCUGUUGUUGGUGAAGAAGGAUAGAGGUAGUAACUGGCCUUUAUUUGACGGUAAUCAACCAGAAAGUCGCGGCUAACUACGUGCCAGCAGCCGCGGUAAU